rnacentral:lncRNA from 1 species
CAGAACACCAAAGACAAAAGCGUCCUAAAUGCAGCUGGAGAUGCAUGGAAAAUGACCUUCAAGGGAGUGACUGAGAGAUGAUGUUUUCUAGCGACAAGGAAAGCCAGAGGAGGACAAUGGACGAGACCUUCGAGGUGAUAAUGGAAACUAAUGACCCAGAAUUCUGUAUCCUGUAAAAAUAUCUUUCAGGAACCAGGACAAAAUGAAGACAUUUUCGGACAAACUGAGUUUACUACGGAAGAUUCUCAUUAAAGAAACAUUUAAAAGGUGUAAGGAAUUGGUAUCACAGGGUGAUCUGACAAGGAAGAAGGAAUGAAGGAUAUAGAAAGAGGUUAUGCUUGUUUGCUGAUGGAAAUGAUCCAGAAGAGAAGGACAAGUUGACGAUUGAGAGGGUUAAUGUCAGGAGAAGGAGUCUGGAAGGACGCUGACAACGGGUGGUGGUCAGGAAGGAAAACCCAGUGCCUGUGGCCCAGAGGCUGGAGGAGGAACUUCAAGGAGGGAUGUUCAGCUCCCUGUGGACCCCCAUUUGUUCAUCCAUACAAUGAUGCUCUGAGGAGCACACAAGGAAGGUGCAAAUUUGAUAAAAUGUGCAUGAUGUAAGGAGCAUAAACCCCCUCAGGAAAGAGUUGCUGCCUUUUCACUAAUGUAUCCCUGAGCUGCACAGAGCAGCCCUGGGGGACUGGGAGGACAUGUCCCCGGUGUGAGGAGCAGGGGAAAGGUGAGCCUUAAAUGAUCACCAACAAACAACAGGGCCUGUGUCUGGGGCUUACACCACGACAUGUG